rnacentral:rRNA from 1 species
AGGACUAACGCUGGCGGCGUGCCUAACACAUGCAAGUCGAACGGACACCACUUUGUAGCAAUACAGAUGAAGUGUUAGUGGCGGACGGGUGAGUAACACGUGGGCAACCUGCCCCUAGCACUGGGAUAACUCCGGGAAACCGGGGCUAAUACCGGAUAUGACCUUCGAGGGCAUCCUCUUUGGUGUAAAGGAUUCUGGCUAGGGAUGGGCCCGCGGCCUAUCAGCUUGUUGGUGGGGUAAUGGCCUACCAAGGCGACGACGGGUA